rnacentral:rRNA from 1 species
GACGAACGCUGGCGGCGUGCUUAACACAUGCAAGUCGAACGGAAAGGCCCUGCUUUUGUGGGGUGCUCGAGUGGCGAACGGGUGAGUAACACGUGAGUAACCUGCCCUUGACUUUGGGAUAACUUCAGGAAACUGGGGCUAUUCCCGGAAGGAAGCUCCGCCUGCAUGUUGGGGGUUGGAAAGUUUCGGCGGUUGGGGAUGGACUCGCGGCUUAUCAGCUUGUUGGUGGGGUAGUGGCUUACCAAGGCUUUGACGGGUAGCCGGCCUGAGAGGGUGACCGGCCACAUUGGGACUGAGAUACGGCCCAGACUCCUACGGGAGGCAGCAGUGGGGAAUAUUGCACAAUGGGCGGAAGCCUGAUGCAGCAACGCCGCGUGCGGGAUGACGGCCUUCGGGUUGUAAACCGCUUUCGCCUGUGACGAAGCGUGAGUGACGGUAAUGGGUAAAGAAGCACCGGCUAACUACGUG